AAAGAAAUAAUCACACAACAAUGUAUGUCUUUAAUGCCUAUUAGGCUUUAAGAGACGUCUCUUCAUUUCACAGUCCUUGGUAGUGGAAACCCUUUAUUAUGAGACGUCUCUUCAUUUCCCAGUCCUUGGUAGUGGAAACCCUUUAUUAUGAGGUGCGAGGCUCGAAAAGACACCUAUUGAAUCUGAAGAUACGCGAAAUAGAGAAUAAAAAUGUAAGGCCUCCGUAUCUUUAUAAAAAUCUCCCGAUUGUAGAACAAGUUUCUAUUGAAUCAUGCUCUCCUGAUGAACGGGUAUUCUUUAGUCAUGCCUCCCCAAUGCCUUGUAUAUACAUGUUGUUCAAGGAUUUAGGUAUCCUAAUCCCUUUUACAUCUUUUGAGUGCGAGUUUCUGAGAAAAAUUCAUGUAGCUUCGAGUCAAUUGCACCCAAAUAGCUGGGCUUCCUUCAGGCUUUUCAGAUAUUAUGUUCAGUUUUAAAUAUUGAAAUUAGUUUGGGUAGGUUCAUGUAUUUUUAUCAACUAAAACUUGGUGAAGCACCUUUUGGAUGGGUAUCAUCGUGGAGUGGAAUUUCGAAAGGGGCAUUAUUUCAAAUUUUUACCCAAUCUUAUAAAAAAUUUAAGGAGAAAUUUUUUAAGGUUCGUCUUGCAUUGAAUGAUCCGAGUUUGGAUACCGUUUUUCAUUUGGGGGGUGAGCCAAUAUUUCCUUUUUAUUGACAAUCACAAUCUUUAAAAUUCUCCGGCAUAGAAGGCUUAGUUUUAACCCAAUCCGAGGUGAAAGACAUAGAGAAACUUCGAAUGUUACCUCGACCUUUAGAAAGCAAGGCCAUUUUAUCUCUCUCGAAUUCAAAAGAUCCACAAGGAGAUUUAGAGAGCAAAAAUUAUGGAGAAGAGUAAGGGGCGUCAAUUAAAAGCCAAGUUUAAUGCAGAGGAAAUGGAGACUUUAGAGGCAAACCUUGCACCUUCUCAUCGAAGAAAAAAGCCAAAGAUCGACAUUGAGAAAGAGAAGUCCGAUGUGAAGCAAAAGAUCGAUGUUGGCCAGAAAAUCGGUGUCCAAACUGCCAAUAUCGAGCAUGAAGGCGAGGCCAACAUCGAAAUCAUUGAUAUUACCGAUCCUGAAGUUGGUCAAAAAGACACUGAAAAGAAAUAUGUGAAUAAUUCGAAUUUGGAAUCGGCGAGUUCUUAACAUUUAAUAUCUUUGUUUUAAAAUACAACUCUAAAUUUAAUCUUGAAUGGUCAUAGGGCUCUAUGCCAGAAGACAUAGCUGCUUCUAAUUUCUCCGGAGUGGUGGAUCAUUGGAAGAAAAAGUGGGAGAAGAAUGUUUCUCAAAUGGAUAAAUUAAAAGGGUAAAACACUGAAAUAGCUCCUUUAACUGCUGAAUUAUCAGAAGUAAAGAAAAAGUUGGAAGAAACGACUAAGGCAUUCGAGAUAUCUGUGAGGUCGAAUAAAUCGUAUUCGGCUAAGGUGGAAGAGCUACUAAAUAAGGUGAAGAUGAUGGAAGAGGAAAAAGAGUUGCAGAAAAAAGCUUUUUUGGAGUUGGAGAUUAAGAUGAAAGAAGGCGAAGGACAUGCUCAACAACUUCAAGCUGAACGUCAAGAGGUAAAAGGAAAAGUUCUUGGUGAUAUGAAGAGAGUCUCGGAUUUGGAAAAGAAAAAUAUGGAGCUAAGUAAAAAGUUGACAGCUACAGAAUAUCAUGUGGUCAUAGAACAUAAAAGAGGAUUUGCAAAGGCAAUCCGGCAAGCUAAAUUUAUUGCUCCUGAGAUUGACUUUGGGGAAGUACAUGUUGAUAAAGAUGUAUUUAAGGGAAAAAUCAUUAAUGAGGAUGAAAUACCUGAGGAUUCCAGUAGCAAUGAAGAAGAUAAUACUUAGGGGAAAAUUAAUUAUUUAAGGUUUAUCAUUUUUAAGUUGUUGUGUUGGGAUAUUAAUAGCUUUAAAAUUUGCUUAUGUAAACUUAGAUCAAGUUUAUAAUGACAUAUUUGCAU